AGUAGAUCAGAAUAUUGAUAAUUCCAAUCAAACUGGUAAAGCCCAAGGGACAGCUAUAGUUGUUUUGAGAUUUAAAUAGGUUAGCUCCAAUUUUAUAUAGUUAACUGAAGUGAAUGAAACUAUACUGCUUUCUUAAAAGUUAAAAAGAAAAGGUUUUAAAAAGCAGGAUGUUUAACACAUAUAAAAUCCUAUUAAAUGCAUGAUAAUAAAUCAUAUUUGUUGAUGGUCAUUUUAAGAAUGAAUUUAAUUUUAGUAUGAAGCUCUCACAGUAUAACCAUGCUAUUUCAUUUUGUUGACAUAGAAACAGAGACCGAGAUCCAUUAACCAAGGAACAUUUGUUAAAAGUCCAUAGGCUUCCUGCUAUGGAGACUAUAGAAGAAAGAGAAGAUUUGGACCCUCUUCUCAAAGCUACUGCCUUCCAGUACAGAGCUAAUGGAGAACUAGAUAAGAUGAAAGGAUUGUUCAUCUGCUAAGUGUGGCUUAUAAAGUCAUCUGGUGUACACUUUGAAGAGGUCUAAUCCAGAAGCGCCAUAAUAAUCAUUCUGAACCUGGGUCCCUCAAGUGGUGUUUCGCUUUCAACUUACAACACUUUAAAACUAAAGGUAACAGACCCUCUUGAAAGAAAGCAAGCGAGUUGAACAUAACAGACCCGGUAUUUCUGUAAUUUAAAAAUUGACUGUUCUCGGAGACUUUAAUUCAAGCAGUGGC
rnacentral:lncRNA from 1 species